UGAUUGAACUAGUUGAUAACCACCUUCGUGACACCGGUUAUCCGGGACCACAGUUGUUAGGGUUAGUGAAGCCGGAUUACUGAAAGAAAUCCAGGACAUGUUGAUCUUGCUUUGUAGUACAGGCCUCUGGAGGAGUGUCCAGAAGGAAGUAGGUCAAGGGGCGUGGCCGAUCCAACACUGCAUUGCCGGUUUUCACAGCUGCAGCUCAUCUUCAUGAUUCACCCCUGCAAUACUUAAACCUGGGCUGAUCACCUUGUUGGUGCCAGUUUCUUAUCUACAACCCAUGUGCUGCCUCCUCUGCUUUGCCUGCCUGCUUCAAGCCCCACCAUCCAGCCUCUGUCUCCAACUUGGGAAACCCUCCAUGUUCUCGUCUCUGCCUGUUCCCCUCGUGUCCCAUAAAGACCUGGAUUCUUCCCUGUCGGCUCGCCACAAGCCUCAGACCAGCCAGGAGUUUCACCACCCUGACACUACCUACAGUGAUUCUCUGAGUACACUCUGCUACAUUAAACCUUUUUAAACUGC